rnacentral:rRNA from 1 species
GUGGGGAAUAUUGGACAAUGGGCGAAAGCCUGAUCCAGCCAUGCCGCGUGUGUGAAGAAGGUCUUCGGAUUGUAAAGCACUUUAAGUUGGGAGGAAGGGCAGUAAGUUAAUACCUUGCUGUUUUGACGUUACCAACAGAAUAAGCACCGGCUAACUUCGUGCCAGCAGCCGCGGUAAUACGAAGGGUGCAAGCGUUAAUCGGAAUUACUGGGCGUAAAGCGCGCGUAGGUGGUUCAGCAAGUUGAAGGUGAAAUCCCCGGGCUCAACCUGGGAACUGCCUCCAAAACUGCAUGACUAGAGUACGGUAGAGGGUAGUGGAAUUUCCUGUGUAGCGGUGAAAUGCGUAGAUAUAGGAAGGAACACCAGUGGCGAAGGCGACUACCUGGACUGAUACUGACACUGAGGUGCGAAAGCGUGGGGAGCAAACAGGAUUAGAAACCCGAGUAGUCC